AACAUGCUCAGCAAUUGUUUUUGCUAAUCUAAUAAGAAAACAUAUUGUACGUGUCUAUUAAUUCUCUCCAGUUACAGGCUUUUGCAAUGUUUUCGCUAAUCUAAUUUAUGUUUGGUUUUGCCAAUUUAAACGUGAAUAGUUCAUGUUAAAGCAUAAUAAUAGCAGAUGAUAUGCUAUUAUUUUUAGUUCACUAAUAUGAAAAUGACAGCAUAAAGAACAGUGGCAAUUGUUCAUAAGUUUUCAUAAGUUAUGCAAAAUUCAGCAUGAUGUCGUAUAAAUCUUGACAAAUUAACAUCGCUGAAAUGAUCAGAUUUUUCUAUCAUCACCAGGCAACUGCUGAUAGGUGAUUUCAUGUUAAACACGCAGUUCUUGCCACAUAUAUAUCGUAAACUACCAAGAUAUCCCCCCUACGAGGUUAUUUAGAAAAUGGAAGCUUUCAUUACCCCUAAUAUUUUGAAUUGCUUUCCUAUAAUUUUUGGCUCGCAGUACUAAUACUUCAUAUAUUUCAUCUUCGGAAUUGUACGUGUGACUAAUGAUGUAUUUCAUCAUAGAUGUUCAGUAGAAUUCAUCCAACAGACUCUUAAGUAAUCUUUCCAAAGUAUAGAUAUUGAUCCUUGUAUAAAUUUACUACUUAGAAAUUACUCAUAAUUUCUCAUCAUGUUCUUGCUCUUAGCGGGUGAUCAACGCACGGGCAAAUGUCGCGGGACAGCCGAAUAUGAGUUUCACUCGGAGAGCUCGAACUUCUCCAUCAGUGGCCGCAGCUGGUGCGGAACUGACGAUUCGAUCUAAAUCAGCCAGUACUUGCCCUUCUGCUCCAUGUCAAAUUCCUUCACAAGGAAAGCAGCUAUGACAAUGCUACUACCUCGGGGUGCAACUCAACUAAUUUAAAGGAGGAGGGAUGUAAAACUGCAGAGCUCAGAACUUGGUCUUGCCAAAGAUCGUUCAGUGAUGAAGGAGACUAUCCAGACAAGGACAAUCGGCCUCCACUAACCGUACCGGUUGGACUGGUGUACAGGAAUGCUUGUGCAAUUCUCAGGUGUUCUAUUGGCUGCCAAGAUUGAGGACGUGUACGCACAGAGCUGCCACCGGUGCCAAGGACACGCUAUCCUCCAUGUCGCCGGGAACGCAGGAGCACACGACAGCGGCCGCAGCCUCAUGUCCAUCGAUCGGUCAUGGGGCGUUCAAUUGAGUAUGAAAUUCCUACUCGGCCUUUGGUCCUUCGGUCGAUAUAUUUUCAUGUUUGUUUCCCAGGCCUUCCUGCUUGAUCUUGGGUGUUCCUGCUCGAUCUGUACAUCACUUCACCAAUUAAGUUAUUAACCUGGUAGUGUCAGCCUAUGAAUAUUUCCUUAGCACAUCAGUAUAUCAGUAAUAUGAAAUUACGAAUGGGCCUGUUAUAUGGAUUACAAGUGCUACCAUGCAUCCAUCUGCAGUUUUUUUUACCAACAGAUAUGUGAAACAGUACUUGUAUUUCUUUAGAUCAUCAGUAUAUCAGUAAUAUGAAUGGGCCUAUUAUAUGGAUUACAAGUGCUUCCAUCAAUCUGCAGUUUUUUUUUACCAGUAGAUAUGUGGAACGGUACUUGUAUUUGUGUUUCUACCAUGUUUGGUGCGAUUCACUGAUCCCUUUGGUUUACUGAGAAAUUAUCGGAACACUGCCAUCUAAGUAAUCAAAUAUCAUGUCUUAUAAUUAUGUGAAUUAGUUCAGCUAGACCAAUCAGGCUCUUUCAGAUCUAAUAGGUACUUCUGCUCAUGCAUCAAGUUGUCGAAUAAAGCAUGCUGUCAACAGUAUUGUGGUGCCGGAGUACUAGCUCCAUGGUGAGUAGUUGAAUUUUUACUGAUAAUGGAGGCAAUUCUGUGGUUAAUUUAAAAUGACAAGGAUUUGAUGUAUUCACUCCAGACAUGUGUCUGAUUUGCAAAUAGUUGAUAGUGUGUCGGAUGCAUAUAUUUUUCUAGGUGCCACCACCAUCAUCAGGUUCUCCAUCUUCUAGAUCUCACCCUUCCAUGCCGAGCAUCUCCCUUGCCUCCUGUCGCUGCAGUUUGGGGGCACUGACCUACCAAUCCCCGAGAGGCUCACUCUCCCAGCUCUCCAGAUUUGAAGCUCUCCAUAUAUAUAUAUAUUAGUUACUAUUCAUCACCCAGGGUGCAAAAUAAGUUACUCUUCACCCGAGGUAAUCUUACGAUCGCUUCAUAAAUAAAUUACAUAUGGAAUACAAAUAGUUACGUUCAUGUCGAUUCACUACGUAAAAUUUGGCAUAAAAAAAUAUAGAUCAUAUGACCAGAAAAAAUGCAUUUUAUGUAUAUUUUACACUAUAUUUUUACGUGUGUAAUUUUACGUAACAUAAAAUAUUUUUUACAGUGAUUACAUUAUUUUUUACGUUCUCUUAUUACGUAUGAAAGAAGACAAAAAUUUAUGAAACGUAAAAUUAUGGUGCAUUGAUGUUAAAAUAAAGGGGGUGAAGAAUAACUAUUCCUCAUCGAGGGUGACGAAUAGUCAAAACUAUUUAUGCAUCCACCACCCGAUCCUCAUUCUGAAUUUGAGAAGAAAUUGAUUUAACAUCUGCUCUAAUGUUCUUUGUAAUGUCGUAGUACUUCAUGUGUUAUGAAAGUGUGAAAUGCCAGUUGUCUUCAUAUGCAAAAAUAUAAUGGAAGCUAUAAAAGUUAUUUUUAGUUAUAUGGAUUAGCUAUGUCAACUAUAAAUGCAGGUGUCUCCAUGGUGACAACUAUUAUAACAGAAUAUGUGAAGAUAUUUGCUGCCUGGAUGAACAAUAUAACUCUGUAGCCCACUAUAACUUAAUCAGCUUAUAAGGUACAACUUAAUUAAGAUGUCGUCAAUAACCACUACUAUUUUUAAUUCGCUUGCAUCAUUUGUUAUCUAAUAGAAUGAUAGAAAUAGAGGGUUCCCAGUCCAAAGGAAGGAUAUGAACACAGAGUAGCUAAAGUAGAGGCAUAGAACUGCUAAUUAUCAUUGUUUUAUUUCAGUAGGAUUGCUUUUGAGAUAAUAAAUGAGCUUAGUAGUCCCGUCACAAAUUAAUUUACGUAGUCCCUCCGUUUUUUUUAGUCCGCAUAUAAAAUUUAGUCAAAGUGAAACUUUGUAAAGUUUGACUAACUUUGUAGGAAAAAAUAUCAACAUCUGCAUUACUAAAGCUAUAUGAUAUGAAAAUUAAUUUAAUGAUGCAUCUAAUAAUAUUAAUUUCAUAUUGUGAAUCUUUAUAUUUUUUCCUACAAACUUAGUCAAAGUUGACAAAGUUUGACUUUUACCAAAUUUUAUAUGCACAUUAAAAAGAAAUGGAGGGAGUACUCGAUCUUUUCAUGCAAAUCUCCUAGAUCCAAGAGUUUCAGAAGAAAUAUUAUGUUUUCAAGAUUAUUGAUCUAAUUAGGAAUACGUGAAUGAGAUUACUUGGAUAGUAUUCAUAUAUUUGAUCUGGUGAUGUAUGGUUAUUAUGUGCGUCUCUUGACUUUAUUUGUAUCUGUACAUGUUAGAUUAGUUCCUUUUCGGCCACCAGAACAAAAUAAGCUCCUCAGAUCUUUUGAUGUUAAAAUUUUAGUGGCUUUACACAACUAUAUCAUUUUGCCCACCAAAUUGUUCGUCGUACUUUAGUAAUUUGUUUGUUUGUUGGCGUCCCUUGAUAAGAUGUAGCCUCACAUGCAUGAAAGUGGAGAAGCUGUAGAUUGGCAUGUCCAAGUUUGCAGUUUUUCUACAUCAGACUGCUUCCACGGAGGUCAGAUAAGAGGGAUUGUCAACCCAUGAAAUGUUAAAUUCUGGACGCACAUAUGUAUUAUUUUUCCAAAUACAUUGUGUGUCAAAUUCUUAUUAUGUGUGUGUGUGUGUGUAUAUAUAUAUAUAUAUAUAUUUGGAUACUGAACUAAUUGACGUAGGGAAUUCGAGAGGCUGGAGUUAGUUGGUUGCAGAAGAUAGAAAACAAGAAUUUUCCAACGCUUAAUAAGGUGGGAGACAAAGAGAGUGAGACUAGAACAUGUAUGCCUGUUGCAACGCACGAGCAAAUAUAUUUAAGGAUUACAACUUCCGUGUCAAUUACUUGUCUUAGAUUUAUUUAGGUAUGGAUGUAUCUUGAACUAGGGCUACAAGGAAAAAGGAGCAACACUUGAGAGGAAGCGAGCCAAAAAAUUGAUGUCCUGGUGCUAUCUUUCAAACUAUGGUAGUUGCUUUUUCCAUGUGAUCGUCUAAUUUGGUCCUACUCUAAUUUUUGGUUUCCAGGGACCGAGCAAGAGGCGUCACUUAUAUCCAAGUUGUUGCAAGGUGCCUUCCAUCCUCAAUGGUAAAUCAAUGAAUGUUGAUGUAACCAACAAAAAAUAGGAAUAUAGAUGUACUGUGGAUGUAUAUGAGGUGAUUCAUGUACCACUAAGGAUUACUUAUUUUCAGAUGGCACAUGCUGUGUGUGCUUACAUGUGCUGUGUGUGCUUACAUGUAAUUUGAUAUGCACAAUCAGAAAAAAAUUAUACAUGUGAAA